UGUGUUGGUUAUCCAUUUUUUCUUGCAUUUCAUCGAGCUUUGUAACAAUCCAAUUGUGGAAUUUAUCUGUCAUUUUAGUGUUUUGGGCUUGUUCAGACUCCAUUCCUUGAGAGCUGGUGUAUGUCCUAGAGGAAGUAUUUUCAGCUUGAUUUUUUGAAUUGCGUCUGGCCCUCCCCAUCUGGGUCAAUUGCUAGAGCUCAAUUAUCUACUUUUUGUAGUUUCUUGAUCAACCACUGGGGGAGCUCUUCCACCACACUUGCAAGGUUCCCCUGACAGGGGUAGCUUUUGGGGAAAGUGGGUUUUCUUGUCUCUCCCCUCCUCCAGGGGUGGAGCCUACCACUUUGGGCAAGAGAGCUGGGGGCUGAGGGGAGGCGGUAUGUCAGAAGUCUGCCCUGCACCCUGCACCCGCCCCAGUGUCUGUAACUCCCCUUGGCUGCUAGACUUCUCAGUAGAUCCUUGAUGGCGCCAGGCCUGAUGAGCCGAUCGCAGAUUGUGUAGGGGCGGGAUUUGCCAGGGGAAACUCUAGGCUGGGCGAGGGCGGGGGACUUGCCCGCUGACGGCUGGGGUGUGGCCCCCCUCAAUGGCAAUCGCUAGCCCACUUGUAGGGCACCAGGUCCGGGGGCGACUGAUUAGGGUGCAGCCGGUGCCAGGUUGGGGGCCUGGGUCAAUAGGACGCCUGCAGGUUCCUCCAGGCCGCCUGCCCGACCGCCUGUUCAGUGGGAGCCGACGCUUUUACUGACCCGCCCUGUGCGGUUUUAUUCGCCCGGGGCAGUUCCAGCUUAGAGCCCCCGCUUACUCUCCCUGGUUACGCGGGGAGACCUCUAACCGCCUCCCGGGUCCACAUAGAUCAGUUUCCUCCCGUCCUGGAGCCGUCCUGGCACGGGGCUGGGGGGACCACGCCGCCGCCUCUCACCAUCAACCGCACCCUCCAGCAGCCUCUUCUGCGUCUGCGACUUCGCACCAGGAAAAGAAAAUUUAGAGCCACAGAAGGAGACACCAGAGAUGAACAGGCAGAGCAGAGGCCGUGUGAGGACACAGGAAGAAGGUCGCCCCUGCAGGCCAAGGACAGAGGCCUCAGGAGAAAGCAGGAUGCAGACACAACUAUGUUCUUGCAGCUUCAGAACUGCCAGAAGGUUCUGUGUCCUCUCAGCUGACUCAGGUACCUGCAGUGUCUGUGGCCUUGGGACAGACGGCCAGCAUCACCUGUCAGGGAGAUGGCAUAAGGAGCUAUUAUGCAAACUGGUACCAGCAGAAGCCAGGCCAGGCCCCUGUGCUGCUCAUCUAUGGUGACAACAACCGGCCCUCAGGGAUCCCUUAGCGAGUCUCUGGCUCCUAUCGGGGAACACGGCCACGCUGACCAUCAGCAGGGCCCAGGCUGACAACCAGGGUGACUAUCACUGCCAGUCGUUUGACAGCCGUGGUACUCUCCCCACGGUGACACAGGCACAUAGGGAAGUGGGACACAAACCUCUUCAAUGUCUGUGACACUCUCCUUCUCUAGCCCAAGGAGAAGUGUGGACGGAUCAUGGCACGUCGCUCAGAUCUGGCACUCCCAGGCUGCCUGUCCCUGCAGCCCUCCAGGCAGGUUCUGCACAGCUGGGUCAGGAAAGAUUCGGGCUGUCAGGCCUUGGUGCCUGGUACUGCGUGCACCAGAGUGAGACUGGGGAGAAACGAUUGUGACUAUGAUCAAAGGAAGGAAGGAGCGAGGGACACAGGUUUCACGUGGUUCUGCGGCCUGGAUACCCAUACAUGGGGUGACUGAGCCUGGCCCUAUGCCUCUGCUCAUGCCCAAAUAUCCCAGAAUAUUCCUCUGAGGCACCCAAGGUCGCCCCCAGCUAAACCGUGCAGGGCUGGGACUCCGAGCAGAGAAGACCAGCGUGGUGCUCGCUGCAGAUCUGCUCCUCAGGGGGACCCGCCGGCCCUCUGCUGCUGGGGUCCCGGGAAGCUCCCGGCUGCGCCCCCGUGGGAGUUGCUCAGGCUGCAGGACUCCCCCACCCCGGUUAUGCCCCGUCUCAGAGUGUGGCCAACAGCGAAUAAUCGCCUGAGAUCCCCAUACCAAGGCCCUGUGUCAGGGUAGCAUGAGCUUGGAAGGGCCUCCCAGCUGGGGCCUCCAUCGGAGCCGCUUUCCAGGUUCCCAGCUCUGCCUCCCAACCUCCCUCCAGAGAGAAUAUCUCAUAUCCCCCUGCAUGCAGUUUCCCUCUCGGAGUCUGAUUCCACAGAACCCAAAAUACAGAGCACCCUACAGGGAAGAGUAUGGAAGAAGAGAGAGCUGCUCAGAGUCACGGCCUUUGAAUCUGCAAUUAUUCCUGAGUGCUAAUGAGCAUGUGUGGAAGGAAAAGAA